rnacentral:ncRNA from 1 species
UCAUAUAGAGGCGCGACGCUUAAUAGUAAAUUGUCCCAUAACGGAAUGAAGGGCUUUUGAAAGGAAUCGUCGCCGAAACCGUAAUAGUUUGUCCGAAGCGUUUACGGUUGGGCUGUAACGAAACACGCUACAGACUGUCGCAAGGUUUUGCGGAGAGCUAUUAUG